rnacentral:rRNA from 1 species
GAUGAACGCUGGCGGCGUGCCUAAUACAUGCAAGUCGAGCGAACAGACGAGGAGCUUGCUCCUCUGACGUUAGCGGCGGACGGGUGAGUAACACGUGGAUAACCUACCUAUAAGACUGGGAUAACUUCGGGAAACCGGAGCUAAUACCGGAUAAUAUAUUGAACCGCAUGGUUCAAUAGUGAAAGACGGUUUUGCUGUCACUUAUAGAUGGAUCCGCGCCGCAUUAGCUAGUUGGUAAGGUAACGGCUUACCAAGGCGACGAUGCUUAGCCGACCUGAGAGGGUGAUCGGCCACACUGGAACUGAGACACGGUCCAGACUCCUACGGGAGGCAGCAGUAGGGAAUCUUCCGCAAUGGGCGAAAGCUUGACGGAGCAACGCCGCGUGAGUGAUGAAGGUCUUCGGAUCGUAAAACUCUGUUAUUAGGGAAGAACAAAUGUGUAAGUAACUAUGCACGUCUUGACGGUACCUAAUCAGAAAGCCACGGCUAACUACGUG